GUUCAUUGAGAGUUGGAGCUCAAUUCGUGUACUAAUAUUUUGGAAUGGUUUCCUUAUAGUUCCAGCUGAAGGGAUUGCUCUCCUCAUUUAUGGCACCAAACCACCACAUAGCCCUUUGCUAGUUGGGUACUUCAGUGAGUUACGCAACUUGCUAAAGGUGUAUCAUGGUUAUGAUCAUAAGUUGUAGUUUAGCUUAUGCUGGGGAAGACAGUCCUACUGAUAAACUAUGUCCAAGGCCGUGGAGAUGUAUUCCUCCAUCUAGUUGACUUGAUUUAUAAUCAAUUAUGUUUUUGACUUGUUAUUUGCGGUUAGAAAGAUCUUCAGAUUCUCAUGUUACUACGAUUUUGAGGAUACACUCUUGUGAAGAACUUAAAGGGCCUGUUUCAAAGCUUUGGGUUUGACGCAUAUCCAGUAGUCAUUAGCCUUAUCAUCUUUCAGGUGUUGAUGGUAAGAAAGGUGGUGGUGGGCAUCAAGCGAACCUUACCCCUUGGAAGGAAAGACCCUGCAAGUGGAGGCAUCAGGUCAAAAAAAACUCCAAAAUCUACACUUCAGUGGUGAUUAUUUUGCAGAGUAAGGCUAACCCCUAUGGGCUAGAUUGAACUGCUAGAUUGGCCAAAAAGUGUUGCAAAUCAAGAAAAAAAUGUGGGGAAAAAGUUAAUACUACUUCUGGAUACUUCUCUCUCCUAGCAACUGCUCGCAGUCCAAGUAGCAGCGAGAUUGAAACGCGCUCUAAAAAUAAUUUUAUGCUGAACCGUUCAGCGCUCAUAUUUUUUGUUAUAGUAUCAUAUUCCGAUGGUGUACAAUACUAGCUGAUUCAUUUUCUCACUCUAGGUCAUGUCCUAUUCGUACACUAAAAAAUUUUGAUACAUUUUCCCACUCUCUGUCCACCUAAGCUUCAAUUCUUAUAGUCCUCCC